UCCCGGUUGGCCCGGGCGGUCUCGCGUGAAAAAUACAACACACGACAAGGGUUGCGCUCGUUGCGGGACUUAACCCAACAUCUCACGACACGAGCUGACGACGGCCAUGCAGCGCCUGUCACCGAUCCAGCCGAACUGACCCCCUAGUCUCCUAGGAGUACGAUCGGGAUGUCAAGGGUGGGUAAGGUUCUACGCGUAGCAUCGAAUUAAACCACAUGAUCCACUGCUUGUGCGGAGCCCCGUCAAUUCCUUUGAGUUUUAGCCUUGCGGCCGUACUUCCCAGGCGGCACACUUAACGCGUUAGCUUCUCCGCACAGGGGGUCGAUACCCCAUACGAAUAGUGUGCAUCGUUUACGGCGUGGACUAC
rnacentral:misc_RNA from 1 species